rnacentral:rRNA from 1 species
UACAGAGGGGGCUAGCGUUGUUCGGAAUUACUGGGCGUAAAGGGCGCGUAGGUGGCCUGUUAAGUCGAACGUGAAAUCCCCGGGCUCAACCCGGGAACUGCGUCCGAUACUGGAAGGCUUGAAUCCGGGAGAGGGAUGCGGAAUUCCAGGUGUAGCGGUGAAAUGCGUAGAUAUCUGGAGGAACACCGGUGGCGAAGGCGGCAUCCUGGACCGGCAUUGACGCUGAGGCGCGAAAAGCCAGGGGAGCCAA